rnacentral:rRNA from 1 species
AACUUUCAACAACGGAUCUCUUGGCUCUAGCAUCGAUGAAGAACGCAGCGAAAUGCGAUAAGUA